UCUCCGUUGGUGAACCAGCGGAGGGAUCAUUACAGAGUUGCAAAACUCCCAAACCCUUGUGAACGUUACCUAUCCCGUUGCUUCGGCGGGCGGCCCGGGCCCCGCGCCCGGCGCCCCCCGGCCCCCCGUGGGCGCCCGCCGGAGGUAAACCAAACCCUUGAAUUGCAUGGCCUCUCUGAGUCUUCUGUACUGAAUAUGUCAAAACUUUCAACAACGGAUCUCUUGGUUCUG
rnacentral:misc_RNA from 1 species